ACCUACGGGGGGCAGCAGUGGGGGAUAUUGCACAAUGGGGGAAACCCUGAUGCAGCGACGCCGCGUGGGUGAAGAAGCGCCUCGGCGCGUAAAGCCCUGUCAGCAGGGAAGAAAAUGACGGUACCUGAAGAAGAAGCCCCGGCUAACUACGUGCCAGCAGCCGCGGUAAUACGUAGGGGGCAAGCGUUAUCCGGAUUUACUGGGUGUAAAGGGGGCGCAGACGGCGAUGCAGGCCAGGAGUGAAAGCCUGGGGCCCAACCCCGGGACUGCGCUUGGAACUGCGGGGCUAGAGUGCAGGAGGGGCG
rnacentral:rRNA from 1 species